rnacentral:rRNA from 1 species
GUGAGGAAUAUUGCGCAAUGGAGGCAACUCUGACGCAGCCAUGCCGCGUGCAGGAAGAAGGCGCUACGCGUUGUAAACUGCUUUUAACCGGGAAGAAACCCCAGGACGUGUCCUGGGUUGACGGUACCGGAGGAAUAAGCACCGGCUAACUUCGUGCCAGCAGCCGCGGUAAUACGAAGGGUGCAAGCGUUAUCCGGAUUCAUUGGGUUUAAAGGGUGCGUAGGCGAAGCGUUAAGUAAGUGGUGAAAUCCUGCAGCUUAACUGUAGACUUGCCAUUGAUGCUGGCGCUCUUGAGUGCGCUUGAAGUGGGCGGAAUGUGCCGUGUAGCGGUGAAAUGCUUAGAUAUUACAUGGAAUACCAAUUGCGAAGGCAGGUUACUACUUGUGGAUUGACGCUGAUGGACGAAAGCGUGGGGAGCGAACAGGAUUAGAUACCCUGGUAGUCC